rnacentral:misc_RNA from 1 species
GAUGAAGAACGUAGCGAAAUGCGAUACUUGGUGUGAAUUGCAGAAUCCCGUGAACCAUCGAGUCUUUGAACGCAAGUUGCGCCCGAAGCCAUUAGGCCGAGGGCACGCCUGCCUGGGCGUCACACGUCGUUGCCCCCCCAUCUACUCCUUCGGGAUUGCGGGGGGCGGAUGAUGGCCUCCCGUGCGCCUCGUCGCGCGGUUGGCAUAAAUGCCAAGUCCUCGGCGACGCACGCCACGACAAUCGGUGGUUGCGAAACCUCGGUUGCCCGUCGUGUGCGGUCGUCGCGCAUCGAGGGCUCGAAAAAAUUGCCGGGCUCCGGCUCGGCUUUCAACGCGACCCCAGGUCAGGCGGGGUUACCCGCUGAAUUUAAGCAUAUCAAUAGCGGAGA